CAGUUAGCCAAAAAGCCAACCCUGAAAUAAUUCCAUCCCUUGUUUGAAACCCCCUUGAGUCUAUUCUCCCUUUUUUCUUUAAAACUCAUUACAAGCCGAGAAGUGAAAAACAAUGUUAUCACCCUAUUCAAAGGGUUGAAAGAGUCUUGUUUGGAGUUGUGUGGGGUUGAAUAAUUAUGUUUGUAAUAUUUCAGAAGAUGGCAGAAAAAGAAAAAAAUAGAAAAAGAAAAUAGAAAAGAAAAAAAAAGGAAUGAAAAAAUAGAAGGAUAAGAGGAAGAAAAAAAGGAAUUAUGUUUGUAAUAUUUUAAUACAUGUCGAU
rnacentral:lncRNA from 1 species